rnacentral:lncRNA from 1 species
AGAGAAGCUGGAGCGGGAGAACCGGGCGCUGAGAGAAGAGCUGCGUGCCUGCGGGCUGAGUGCCUCUGUGGGAGGUGGCAGCGGGGAGAUGGGCAGCCUGCCCUGCCCUGCAGAAGGACCCGAUGCAUUGCCCACAGCCCCAGUGGAUCAGGCAGACACCACCAUGACGGUACGGCGCUACUCCACCGCAGCAUCAGCACCCUCAAGGCCUCACCGUGCCAGCAAGCAGCCCCUGAGCAGCGGGCAGCUGGAGAAGCGGGGCAGGGCCGAACCGCACGCCUGUCCCGCUGCAGCACAGCACUUCAGCGAUGUGGGCAGAGGCCUUGGGAAGAGCCCAGCCAACUGCUUCUCCAGCAGCAGUUCCAGCAAAAUGAGGCUGUUCCAGGAGCACGUCCGCAGGUGCAGGGGUAAAGUAAAGGCUGUUAGUUUCCUGUUACCAAUGGAUGUGUCUUAUGCUGAAAAUCAAGGUUCUUUCAAAAGCCCGCAAAAUCAGGACACAAAACAGUUAAGUACCAUCACUGAAAAAGAUAUGUGAGCUGGUGAAUUUUUAAAGGCCCAUUGAUUCUCGAGAUAAAUUGGCCUUAAAUGAUAGCUAUGUGUCAGGUUCCUUAUCUGCAAAACGCUUUGGCAGGCUGCCUUCAGAGACUCACCCAGACGAUGUUUCGGGUCACUGCCCUGUUGUUCAGCAAGGAAAUGGAAGCCACGACAAAACUGGCUGGAAGCAUGUAUGCUGCGAUGGAGUCACAUGAUAGCAAAUCUCCUCCACAAAGCAGCUUCUGCUCAGCACGACUCAAGGCUCCCUCACCUCAGCACUGCUUUAAACAGGAUGUUAAAGCUGGUUUUGCUAUGUUUGCCACAAAAAAGCGGAAACCGAGUCACGUCUUGUGUUUGCUGAUCCCUUGGCAGGUGAGGUAUUUGUUGCAAAUGAUGAAGUAAGAGCUGCUGAAAGUCCUGGGAGCCUCUUCUGUACUUAAAACUUCAAAUUUCAUAGCUGCUAAAAGUCCUGGGAGUCUCUUCUGUACUUAAAACUUCAAAUUUCAUAAUACCAAAAAGCAAAGUCAAGGGGAUGUUACAGAACCAGUUAACGUUACACUGAAUUUCUGCAAAACCUGUCAGUGACUGCUGAUGUCCACUUCAGGUCCGACUCUACAGGAGCACAAGCUGCUAAUCAAUUUGGAAACAUGACUGCAAAUCUGUUUCUGAGCUGGUGUCCAUCAGAGACAGCCGUACACCAAGUGAGGACAGGAAGGUGUCUGAAUCUCAGAUGUUUUCAGGAAUGGUGUCUGAACACAACUCAGAUCAAGAAUCACUAGCAGACAUCUAGCAUACUGGUGCAAAACAAAUGGAAGAAUAAAAUGGCUUGUAAAAAAUGAGGAGUGCUUGAU